rnacentral:rRNA from 1 species
GGCCGGUACUGUUCUCGGCUCACCGAGUCGGUUCAGCGCCUGGUCAUCCGUACGGGAAACUAGCUCGGUCUUCAGUGGUCGGCUAGUGGAUCGUACACUUUACUUUGAAAAAAUUAGAGUGUUUCAGGCAGGCAAUUGCUUGGAUACUGUAGCAUGGAAUAAUGGAAUAGGACUUUGACCUAUUUGUUGGUUUCUCGAGGUCAAAGUA